rnacentral:rRNA from 1 species
UACGUAGGGUGCGAGCGUUGCCCGGAUUUAUUGGGCGUAAAGGGCGCGUAGGCGGCUCGACACGUUCGUUGUGAAAUCGCCCGGCUCAACUGGGCGGGGUCAGCGAAUACGGUCGAGCUUGAGCAAGCUAGGGGGCAAUGGAAUUCCCGGUGUAGUGGUGGAAUGCGUAGAUAUCGGGAGGAACACCAGUGGCGAAGGCGGUUGCCUGGGGCUUUGCUGACGCUGAUGCGCGAAAGCGUGGGGAGCGAGUCCGG